rnacentral:lncRNA from 1 species
GGGGUGAGGAGGGGUCCGGGGUGGGCGUGCGAGGGACCAAGAUGAGCGCGCGGGGGUCCAGGUGGGCGUGCAAGGGUCCGAGGUGAGCGUGGCAGGGUCUGGGUGGGUGUGUGAGGGUCUGGGUGAGUGUGCAAAGGGUCCGGGUGGGCGUGCAAGGCUCAGGGGUGGGUGUGCAAGGGUCUGAGAUGAGCGUGCAAGGCUCAGGGUGGGUGAGCGUGCAAGGCUCAAGGAUGAGCGUGGAGUGGUCUGGGUGGGUGUGCAAGGCUCAGGGUGGGUGAGUGUGCAAGGCUCAGGGAUGAGCGUGCAAGGCUCAGGGUGGGUGUGCAAGGCUCAGGGUGGGUGUGCAAGGCUCAGGGAUGGGUGUGCAAGGCUCAGGGUGGGUGAGUGUGCAAGGCGCCGCUGCGGUGCCGCAGGGGCGUGCAAGGGCCGGGCAGGGGCGGGGAAGGUGCUGGAAGGAGCCGGGGGGGCGUGCAAGGGACACGGGGGGUGUGCCAGGUGUGCCAGGUGUGCCAGGUGUGCCAGGUGUGCCAGGGACACCCAAGGGACACCCAGGGGACACCCAAGGGACACCCAGGGGACACCCGGGGCUGCCAGGCCCCCCCGGCCCGGCCGCGAGGCGGCUGCUGCGUCACCCGGGGCUGCACACGCGUGUCCCCUGCGUGUCCCCGAGCGUGUCACGCGUACCUGAGCGUGUCACGCGUGUCCUCUGCGCGUGUCCCCGAGCGUGUCACGCGUGUCCCUGCGGCCUUGGCCCCGCGCCAGUGAUGCCACCAGGCCCCAGAUUCCUGAUGUCCCCAAACCCCGAUGUCCCCAAACCCCGAUGUCCCCAAAUCCCGAUGUCCCCAAAUCCCUGUCCCUGUCUGCAUCCCUGCGCCCGUGUCCCCGUCCCGAUGUCCCCGAGUCAAUCCCGGUGUCCCAGUCCCGGUGUCCCAAAUCCCGGUGUCCCCGUGUCCUUGUCCCUGUGCCAGUGGCACUGCCAGGCCCCGAGGUCCCUGUCCCCAUAUCCCUCCUGUCCCCAUCCUGGUGCCGAUCCCAAUGUCCCCGGGUCAAUCCCGAUGUCCCCAACCCCGGUGUCCCCGUGUCCUUGUCCCUGUGCCAGCAGCGCCACCAGGCCCCUGUCCCCUUCCCCGUCCCCAUCCUCGUGUCCCUGUGUCCCUGUCCUUGUCCCCAUCCCCUUAUCCAUGUCCCUGUCCCCGAGUCAAUCCCGAUGUCCCCAACCCCGGUGUCCCUGUGUCCUUGUCCCUGUGCCAGCAGCGCCACCAGGCCCCUGUCCCCGUCCCCGUCCCCAUCCUCGUGUCCCUGUGUCCCUGUCCUUGUCCCCAUCCNAA